GACGAACGCUGGCGGCGUGCCUAAUACAUGCAAGUCGAACGAACCGCGACUAAGUGCUUGCACUAAGUCAAGGUGAGUGGCGAACGGGUGAGUAACACGUGGGUAACCUACCUCAUAGUGGGGGAUAACAGUCGGAAACGACUGCUAAUACCGCAUAGGACAUAGGAUCACAUGAUCCAGUGAGGAAAGGUGGCGCAAGCUAUCGCUAAGAGAUGGACCCGCGGUGCAUUAGCUAGUUGGUAGGGUAAAGGCCUACCAAGGCGAUGAUGCAUAGCCGACCUGAGAGGGUGAUCGGCCACAUUGGGACUGAGACACGGCCCAAACUCCUACGGGAGGCAGCAGUAGGGAAUCUUCCGAAAUGGACGCAAGUCUGACGGAGCAACGCCGCGUGAGUGAAGAAGGUCUUCGGAUCGUAAAGCUCUGUUGUUAGAGAAGAACAGCGCAUAGAGUAACUGCUAUGCGUGUGACGGUAUCUAAACAGAAAGCCACGGCUAACUACGUG
rnacentral:rRNA from 1 species